AGCGAACGCUGGCGGCAGGCCUAACACAUGCAAGUCGAACGGACCCUUCGGGGUUAGUGGCGGACGGGUGAGUAACACGUGGGAACGUGCCUUUAUGUUCGGAAUAGCUCCUGGAAACGGGUGGUAAUGCCGAAUGUGCCCUUCGGGGGAAAGAUUUAUCGCCUUUAGAGCGGCCCGCGUCUGAUUAGCUAGUUGGUGAGGUAACGGCUCACCAAGGCGACGAUCAGUAGCUGGUCUGAGAGGAUGACCAGCCACACUGGGACUGAGACACGGCCCAGACUCCUACGGGAGGCAGCAGUGGGGAAUCUUGCGCAAUGGGCGAAAGCCUGACGCAGCCAUGCCGGGUGAAUGAUGAAGGUCUUAGGAUUGUAAAAUUCUUUCACCGGGGACGAUAAUGACGGUACCCGGAGAAGAAGCCCCGGCUAACUUCGUG
rnacentral:rRNA from 1 species